AACGAACGCUGGCGGCAUGCCUAACACAUGCAAGUCGAACGAGACCUUCGGGUCUAGUGGCGCACGGGUGCGUAACGCGUGGGAACCUGCCCUUAGGUUCGGAAUAACUCCCCGAAAGGGGUGCUAAUACCGGAUAAUGUCUUCGGACCAAAGAUUUAUCGCCUUUGGAUGGGCCCGCGUUGGAUUAGCUAGUUGGUAGGGUAAAAGCCUACCAAGGCGACGAUCCAUAGCUGGUCUGAGAGGAUGAUCAGCCACACUGGGACUGAGACACGGCCCAGACUCCUACGGGAGGCAGCAGUGGGGAAUAUUGGGCAAUGGGCUAAAGCCUGAUCCAGCAAUGCCGCGUGAGUGAUGAAGGCCUUAGGGUUGUAAAGCUCUUUUACCCGGGAUGAUAAUGACAGUACCGGGAGAAUAAGCUCCGGCUAACUCCGUG
rnacentral:rRNA from 1 species